rnacentral:rRNA from 1 species
AUUGAACGCUGGCGGCAGGCCUAACACAUGCAAGUCGAACGGUAACAGGAAGCAGCUUGCUGCUUCGCUGACGAGUGGCGGACGGGUGAGUAAUGUCUGGGAAACUGCCUGAUGGAGGGGGAUAACUACUGGAAACGGUAGCUAAUACCGCAUAACGUCGCAAGACCAAAGAGGGGGACCUUCGGGCCUCUUGCCAUCGGAUGUGCCCAGAUGGGAUUAGCUAGUAGGUGGGGUAACGGCUCACCUAGGCGACGAUCCCUAGCUGGUCUGAGAGGAUGACCAGCCACACUGGAACUGAGACACGGUCCAGACUCCUACGGGAGGCAGCAGUGGGGAAUAUUGCACAAUGGGCGCAAGCCUGAUGCAGCCAUGCCGCGUGUAUGAAGAAGGCCUUCGGGUUGUAAAGUACUUUCAGCGGGGAGGAAGGGAGUAAAGUUAAUACCUGUGCUCAUUGACGUUACCCGCAGAAGAAGCACCGGCUAACUCCGUG